rnacentral:miRNA from 3 species
UCGGUGGGAUCUUCGUCCGUUU